UUGCCGACCACGGUCCUAGUUCAUAGGUCGAUGCUCCACCACUGAGCCACACCGGCUGGGCUCAACACGUACUUCUUUACGAACAAGUUAGAUAGUAACGAGGAGGCGGGCUCCGUGGAACUGCCAAGCGGUGAUGCGCACAAUACCUGGGGUUCCCACCACAACUGUGCUAGGAAAACAGAUGUGACCUCAGCUGGUGAGGUCAGGGUUCGAGUCUGUGUGGAGACAGAGCGAAAUGCUCAAUGGCAGCUACAGUCAGUGAGAACCAGGAGGCAUGUUCUCCCGUCAGUCCGUGGCCCCUGAGUUCCCUCCGUGGAUUCCUGGCCGGAGGCUCCCAGGUGAGGAAGGCCGGCUCCAGGCCCAGGUGGGCAGCGCGCAGGCUCCUGCGGAUUCAGCACUCACAGUAAGGGCCUCUUCUGUCCCCUCCUGAGCGGAGCCAAGGAAAGGCAGGUGACGGGAACACCAGUGCCGGGCAGCGCGGUGGGACACACACCAGCUUUGGGGCGGAGCCGGCACAGACACCCUGGACCUGCCUCCACCAGCUCCCCGGGCUCAGGCCUCCACGGAGGGAGGGAGCGACCGCCGCGUGUGCAGGUGUUUGCUAUUUGGAGUCGGUGGCCGGAGGCUGUUUUGCCAGCUGGGAUCCGCCUUCGUUCUCCUGGCUGCUGGUUUUGGUUUCGUGCCCUCAUCCGUGGGUCUCGGCAGCAGCUGGAGACCCAGCCCUUCCCACCCACUCCGGGGGUAACCCCCAAUUCCUCCCACCAGGCUUCCUGUGACCCCGGGAGCUAUGAUUCGUUUCCCAAACUGGAGUGCCUCUUCAGGGAGAACCAGGAUCCCCGUCACGGAGUCUGUGAUUGGUAGAGGGCAGGUGAGUUCCCCCUGAGAAAACCCGGCACGGCCCACACAGACUAGAAGAGAUUACUCAUGGGGUCAGUUCUCCUCACACAGAAUUCCCUCUGCCCCCCCAAUAACCCAUUUUCCAUGUCUCUGUUCCUAUGGCCCUUAAAGGAAGAGUCAUCGAAUAGAAACGAGACCGUCACACACGCGUGGAAGAGGAGAGCUUCUGAGUAAAGGAACAAGAAUGAAAUUGACCAAAUGGCAUUUCUAAGGAAAUGACCCCAACGUGUACCCCUCACAGCGCAGGAGUGAGGAGGAACUUAGCUUCAGCAAGGCCCGGAUUCAUGGACACAAUUCUCCGUGAAAAAUCCAAGCCCAGGAACCAUGGGCCUCCCGUGGCAGAUGUCUGGUGACUUCGGGAUCCGCAGCACCUUCAAGCUGGGGAGGCCCUCCCCCAACCCAGCAAGACCCCCACCCCGUGCGACGCAGGAGUCAACUGAGGCCCACAGACCGGAAGGCUUUGCUCGCAGUCUGCAAUUUCCCUUCUUCCCUCCAUUUCUGCCUGCCCCCCGCCCACAGGACACCCCUGCAGCUCCCCCAUCAACCAAGUGCCCAGCUAACUAGUGACCGGGUAUGCGCUUUACCCUCCCUCCCCCUCCUCCGCUCCCCACAGCCUCUCACACCCACUUACUCAACUGAGUUGGUGUUAUUUAAAAGUAGCUCGCCCAGCUGGAGUUGGUGUUAUUUAAAAGUAGCUCGCCCAGCUGGUGUGGGUGAGCGUCGACCUAUAAACCAGGAGGUCACGGUUCAAUUCCUGGUUAG